CCUGCACAUAGGGGUGUUGCAGGUGUGGCUGCUACAUCACACGUGCAGUAGCAGGUGGGAUAGAGGAGAGAGGCUAUGUCUACACUCAGUGUUCUAAUCUAUGAACACUUGAGUGGUCACGGGCCUAAAAUU